GGAGAGGUGGGAGAGUGGCUUAAUCCACCGGUUUGCUAAACCGGCGUACUGGGAAACCGGUACCGGGGGUUCGAAUCCCCCUCUCUCCG
rnacentral:tRNA from 1 species